rnacentral:rRNA from 1 species
UCGAGGGGCAGCGGGAAGGUUAGCUUGCUAACCUUUUCUGGCGACCGGCGCACGGGUGAGUAACACGUAUGCAACCUGUCCGGUACAGGGGGAUAAGCGGCGGAAACGCUCUCUAAUACCGCGUGACAACCCGAGGGGGCAUCCCCUUGGGUUCAAAGGAGAGAUCCGGUACCGGCUGGGCAUGCGGCGCAUUAGCUAGUUGGCGGGGCAACGGCCCACCAAGGCGACGAUGCGUAGGGGUUCUGAGAGGAAGGUCCCCCACACUGGAACUGAGACACGGUCCAGACUCCUACGGGAGGCAGCAGUGAGGGAUAUUGGUCAAUGGGCGCAAGCCUGAUUCUGCCAAGUCGCGUGAGGGAAGACGGCCCUACGGGUUGUAAACCUCUUUUGCCGGGGAGCAAGCCUGAGCACGUGUGCCCAGGCGGAGAGUACCCGGAGAAAAAGCAUCGGCUAACUCCGUGCCAGCAGCCGCGGUAAUACGGAGGAUGCGAGCGUUAUCCCGGAUUUAUUGGGUUUAAAGGGUGCGCAGGCGGGCUGUUAAGCCGGCCGGUAAAAAUUCAGGGCUCAACCCUGUCGAGCCGUCGGAACUGGCAGUCUUGUGUGGGCGUGAAGUAUGCGGAAUGCGUGGUGUAGCGGUGAAAUGCAUAGAUUUCUCGGAGAACGCCGAUUGCGAAGGCAGCAUACCGGCGCCCAACUGACGCUGAGGCACGAAAGCGUG